GACGAACGCUGGCGGCGUGCUUAACACAUGCAAGUCGAACGGAAAGGCCCUGCUUUUGUGGGGUGCUCGAGUGGCGAACGGGUGAGUAACACGUGAGUAACCUGCCCUUGACUUUGGGAUAACUUCAGGAAACUGGGGCUAAUACCGGAUAGGAGCUCCUGCUGCAUGGUGGGGGUUGGAAAGUUUCGGCGGUUGGGGAUGGACUCGCGGCUUAUCAGCUUGUUGGUGGGGUAGUUGCUUACCAAGGCUUUGACGGGUAGCCGGCCUGAGAGGGUGACCGGCGACAUUGGGACUGAGAUACGGCCCAGACUCCUACGGGAGGCAGCAGUGGGGAAUAUUGCACAAUGGGCGGAAGCCUGAUGCAGCAACGCAGCGUGCGGGAUGACGGCCUUCGGGUUGUAAACCGCUUUCGCCUGUGACGAAGCGUGAGUGACGGUAAUGGGUAAAGAAGCACCGGCUAACUACGUG
rnacentral:rRNA from 1 species